UACGAAGGGGGCUAGCGUUGCUCGGAAUCACUGGGCGUAAAGCGCACGUAGGCGGACUCUUAAGUCGGUGGUGAAAUCCUGGAGCUCAACUCCAGAACUGCCUUCGAUACUGGGAGUCUCGAGUUCGGGAGAGGUGAGUGGGACUGCGAGUGUAGAGGUGAAAUUCGUAGAUAUUCGCAAGAACACCAGUGGCGAAGGCGGCUCACUGGCCCGGUACUGACGCUGAGGUGCGAAAGCGUGGGGAGCAAACAGG
rnacentral:rRNA from 1 species